rnacentral:rRNA from 1 species
CAGCAGCCGCGGGAAUACGUAGGGUGCGAGCGUUAAUCGGAAUUACUGGGCGUAAAGCGUGCGCAGGCGGUUGUGUAAGACAGGCGUGAAAUCCCCGGGCUUAACCUGGGAACUGCGCUUGUGACUGCACAGCUAGAGUAUGGCAGAGGGGGGUGGAAUUCCACGUGUAGCAGUGAAAUGCGUAGAGAUGUGGAGGAACACCGAUGGUGAAGGCAGCCCCCUGGGCCAAUACUGACGCUCAUGCACGAAAGCGUGGGGAGCAAACAGGAUUAGAUACCCCAGUAGUCCCUGUCUCUUAUAA